GUGCUCGCUUCGGCAGCACAUAUACUAAAAUUGGAACAUACAGAGGAGAUUAGCAUGGCCCCUGCACAAGGAUGACAUGCAUAUUGGUGAAGCAUUCCGCCUUUAA
rnacentral:snRNA from 1 species